GCGGGUAGCCGACACCACGCCGUCUGGGCGAGUUUUUGCCUCGGAUGAGUAGGAGGACGUGGCGGUCGUGUCGAAGCGUACGGGCAACUGUGCGUGGAACGGCCGCUAGUGCAGAUCUUGGUGUUAGUAGCAAAUAUUCAAAUGAAAACCUUGAAGGGCGAAGCGGGGAAGGGUUCCACGCGUACAUUGAUUGGGUGUGGGUGAGUCGUUCCUAAGCCGUGUGGCAAUAGCUACGUUUAUCGGCGAAAGGGAAGCAGGUUGACAUUCCUGCACACGGAUGUGGAAGCGGUGACGCACUAUUCUAGGGGUAAUGAAGUCGGCUAUGGCACUGGGCAGAGUUGUCUUUUCUGUUUAACCGUUCCCAAACUGGCACUGUGUGGAAUCCGCUUGUCGGGAGAAACACGUGCCGACGGGCAAAGCGCCGGGAUUUUUCCGGCGUCCAGUUCGCUAUUUGACGACCCUUGAAAAAUUACCUGCUGGCACAGACUUGGUUUUUUUCCGAGCGCUGUGUGUGAAAAAAUCCACGCCGUAACGUACCGAUAACCGCAUCAGGUCCCCAAGGUGAACAGCCUCUGCUCGAUAUGAUCAAUGCAGGUAAGGGAAGUCGGCAAAAUAGACCCGUAACUUUGGGAAAAGGGUUGGCUCUAGUGCUGCGUGGGACUGGUUGCUGUGGUGUUCAAACUGAUCCAGUUGUCUUUGCUGCGGAGUGGGCAAAGCUCCCCUCGGGGGGUGGAGCCUGCGCUGAAGUAGAUGUCUGACCGUCGAACGGUGCGACCCGCGGCGACGCCCACGGUAUGCAGCAAACUAGAACUGCAACGGGCAAAGGGAAUCCGACUGUUUAA
rnacentral:rRNA from 1 species